GCCGAGGUGAUGAAACUGGUAAACAUGCACGGUUCAGAACCGUGUGCCCAAAAGCUUGCGGGUUCGACUCCCGCCCUCGGCA
rnacentral:tRNA from 1 species